rnacentral:rRNA from 1 species
GACGAACGCUGGCGGCGUGCCUAACACAUGCAAGUCGAACGGAGCUCCUUCGGGGCUUAGUGGCGAACGGGUGAGUAACGCGUGAGAAACCUGCCUUUCAGUGGGGGAUAGCGGUUGGAAACGACCGGUAAUACCGCAUAAUGUUAUUUGGGGGCAUCCCUGAAUAACCAAAGAUUUAUUGCUGAAAGAUGGUCUCGCGUCUGAUUAGCUAGUUGGUGAGGUAGCGGCUCACCAAGGCGACGAUCAGUAGCCGGUCUGAGAGGAUGAACGGCCACAUUGGGACUGAGAUACGGCCCAG